GCCUGGGUGGCUCAGUCGGUUGAGUGUCCGACUCCGGCUCGGGUCGUGAAUUCGCGGUCCGUGAGUUCGAGCCCCGCGUCGGGCU